rnacentral:rRNA from 1 species
GAUGAACGCUGGCGGCGUGCCUAAUACAUGCAAGUCGAGCGAACGGACGAGAAGCUUGCUUCUCUGAUGUUAGCGGCGGACGGGUGAGUAACACGUGGAUAACCUACCUAUAAGACUGGGAUAACUUCGGGAGACCGGAGCUAAUACCGGAUAAUAUUUUGAACCGCAUGGUUCAAAAGUGAAAGACGGUCUUGCUGUCACUUAUAGAUGGAUCCGCGCUGCAUUAGCUAGUUGGUAAGGUAACGGCUUACCAAGGCAACGAUGCAUAGCCGACCUGAGAGGGUGAUCGGCCACACUGGAACUGAGACACGGUCCAGACUCCUACGGGAGGCAGCAGUAGGGAAUCUUCCGCAAUGGGCGAAAGCCUGACGGAGCAACGCCGCGUGAGUGAUGAAGGUCUUCGGAUCGUAAAACUCUGUUAUUAGGGAAGAACAUAUGUGUAAGUAACUGUGCACAUCUUGACGGUACCUAAUCAGAAAGCCACGGCUAACUACGUGCCAGCAGCCGCGGUAAUACGUAGGUGGCAAGCGUUAUCCGGAAUUAUUGGGCGUAAAGCGCGCGUAGGCGGUUUUUUAAGUCUGAUGUGAAAGCCCACGGCUCAACCGUGGAGGGUCAUUGGAAACUGGAAAACUUGAGUGCAGAAGAGGAAAGUGGAAUUCCAUGUGUAGCGGUGAAAUGCGCAGAGAUAUGGAGGAACACCAGUGGCGAAGGCGACUUUCUGGUCUGUAACUGACGCUGAUGUGCGAAAGCGUGGGGAUCAAACAGGAUUAGAUACCCUGGUAGUCCACGCCGUAAACGAUGAGUGCUAAGUGUUAGGGGGUUUCCGCCCCUUAGUGCUGCAGCUAACGCAUUAAGCACUCCGCCUGGGGAGUACGACCGCAAGGUUGAAACUCAAAGGAAUUGACGGGGACCCGCACAAGCGGUGGAGCAUGUGGUUUAAUUCGAAGCAACGCGAAGAACCUUACCAAAUCUUGACAUCCUUUGACAACUCUAGAGAUAGAGCUUUCCCCUUCGGGGGACAAAGUGACAGGUGGUGCAUGGUUGUCGUCAGCUCGUGUCGUGAGAUGUUGGGUUAAGUCCCGCAACGAGCGCAACCCUUAAGCUUAGUUGCCAUCAUUAAGUUGGGCACUCUAAGUUGACUGCCGGUGACAAACCGGAGGAAGGUGGGGAUGACGUCAAAUCAUCAUGCCCCUUAUGAUUUGGGCUACACACGUGCUACAAUGGACAAUACAAAGGGCAGCGAAACCGCGAGGUCAAGCAAAUCCCAUAAAGUUGUUCUCAGUUCGGAUUGUAGUCUGCAACUCGACUACAUGAAGCUGGAAUCGCUAGUAAUCGUAGAUCAGCAUGCUACGGUGAAUACGUUCCCGGGUCU